CAGGAAGGGAAAAGAGGGUCAAAACCCUAGUUUCUUCAAAAUCUUCAAAUUGAAAGGCAAGAUGAAGCUUUAACUCAUAACCGAGCAUAGAUUAAUGAUCACCUUCACAAGGGGAUCGCAAGGAAUCAUGUCGAGACGGAAUCAAGCACGGAAGGCUAACGGGUCAAGAAGUGGCGAAGAAACAAAUAUGAAUACGGAUGCACGAGGUGCCACACGGACUUCUUCUGCUACUUAGAAAGUGAAGCGGACGUAGAUCGAGUCAAGAGCAAGGAUUGCACGGAUAGAUCGGUCAUAUAAUUGAAGUGUAUAACGUCUAGAAAUGUAAAUUUUAGUAUGAAUGUUGUGAAUUCUUUUAUAGAACGUUUAACAUUUUUAGCAUUUGGAACCUUCGCGAAAGUAAUGUCGUUAAUAAGGAAAUAAAUUUUAAAGC